GCAGGUAUAGCUCAGUGGUAGAGUGAAUGCUUAACAUGCAUGAGGUCCUGGGUUCAAUCCCUAGUACUCUCC
rnacentral:tRNA from 1 species